rnacentral:lncRNA from 1 species
GAGGGCUGUGAGGACUGCCAGCAUGCUGUCACCUCUCAGUAUAAUUUAAGAUCAACCCUAAUUGAAAAUACUAUAUUUUGAAGAAUCAGGCAAAACUACUUUGAAUUUUAUAUGGAACCAUAAAAGAGCCCAUAUAGCGAAGACAAGCCUAAGCAAAAAGAAAAAAGCUGGAGGCAUCAUGCUACCUGACUUCAAACUACACUACAAGGCUUCAGUAACCAAAAGAGCGUGGUACUGGUACCAAAACAGAUAUAUAGACCAAUGGAACAGAACAGCAGCCUCAGAAGUAACACCACACAUCUACAACCAUCUGGUCUUCGACAAACCUGACCAAAAAAAAAAAAAAAAAAAAAAGCAAUGGGGAAAGGAGUCCCUAGUUAAUAAAUGGUGUUGGGAAAACUGGCUAGCCAUAUGCAGAAAACAGAAACUGAACCCCUUCCUUACACCUUAUCCAAAAAUUAAUUCUAGAUGGAUUAAAGACUUAAACGUAAAACCUAAAACCAUAAAAACCCUAGAAGAACACCUAGGCAAUACCAUUCAGGACACAGGCAUGGGCAAAGACUUAAUGACUAAAACAUCAAAAGCAAUUGCAACAAAGCCGAAAUUGACAAAUGGGAUCUAAUUAAAGUAAAGAGCUUCUGCUCAGCAAAAGAAACUAUCAUCAGAGUGAACAGGCAACCUACAGAAUGAGAGAAAAAUUUUUCAAUCUACCCCUCUGACAAAGGUGUAAUAUCCAGAAUUUACAAGAAACUUAAACAAAUUUACAAGAAAAAAACAAACAACCCCAUCAAAAAGUGGACGAAGGAUAUGAACAGACAUCUCUCAAAAGAAGACAUUAUGCGGCCAAAAAACCUAUGAAAAAAAGCUCAUCAUCACUGGUCAUUAGAGAAAUGCAAAUCAAAACUACAAUGAGAUACCAUCUCAUGCCGGUUAGAAUGGUGAUCAUUAAAACGUCUGGAAACAAUAGAUGCUGGUGAGGAGAUGAGAACACAUGGACACAGGGAGGGGAACAUUACACACCGGGGCCUGUUGGGAGGUGGAAAGAAAGGGGAGGGAGAGUAUUAGACAAAUACCUAAUGCAUGUGGGGCUUAAAAGCUAGAUGAUGGGUUGAUAGGUGCAGCAAACCACCAUGGUACAUGUAUACCCAUGUAACAAACCUGCACGUUCAGCACAUGUAUCCCAGAAGUUAAAGUAAACUAGAAU